rnacentral:rRNA from 1 species
GAGCAUGUGGUUUAAUUCGAAAGAUACGCGCAGAACCUUACCAACACUUGACAUGUUCGUCGCGACUCUAAGAGAUUAGAGUUUUCGGUUCGGCCGGACGAAACACAGGUGCUGCAUGGCUGUCGUCAGCUCGUGUCGUGAGAUGUUGGGUUAAGUCCCGCAACGAGCGCAACCCUCACUUUUAGUUGCCAUCAUUAAGUUGGGCACUCUGAAAGAACUGCCAGUGAUAAGCUGGAGGAAGGUGGGGAUGACGUCAAGUCCUCAUGGCCCUUACGUGUUGGGCUACACACGUGCUACAAUGGUAUCUACAACAGGAAGCAAGACUGCGAAGUUAAGCAAAUCCCUAAAAGAUACCUCAGUUCGGAUUGCACUCUGCAACUCGAGUGCAUGAAGCUGGAAUUACUAGUAAUCGUGGAUCAGCGUGCCACGGUGAAUGCGUUCCCGGGUCUUGUACACACCGCCCGUCACACCAUGGGAGUUGGUUCUACCUUAAGGCAAGGUUUCAAACCCUUGACCACGGUAUAGUCAGCGACUGGGGUGAAGUCGUAACAAGGUAA